UGACUNGAGUGCAGAAGGGGAGAGUGGAAUUCCAUGUGUAGCGGUGAAAUGCGUAGAUAUAUGGAGGAACACCAGUGGCGAAAGCGGCUCUCUGGUCUGUCACUGACGCUGAGGCUCGAAAGCGUGGGUAGCGAACAGGAUUAGAUACCCUGGUAGUCCACGCCGUAAACGAUGAGUGCUAGGUGUUAGGCCCUUUCCGGGGCUUAGUGCCGGAGCUAACGCAAUAAGCACUCCGCCUGGGGAGUACGACCGCAAGGUUGAAACUCAAAGGAAUUGACGGGGGCCCGCACAAGCGGUGGAGCAUGUGGUUUAAUUCGAAGCAACGCGAAGAACCUUACCAGGUCUUGACAUCCCGAUGCUAUUCUUAGAGAUAGGAAGUUACUUCGGUACAUCGGAGACAGGUGGUGCAUGGUUGUCGUCAGCUCGUGUCGUGAGAUGUUGGGUUAAGUCCCGCAACGAGCGCAACCCUUAUUGUUAGUUGCCAUCAUUAAGUUGGGCACUCUAGCGAGACUGCCGGUAAUAAACCGGAGGAAGGUGGGGAUGACGUCAAAUCAUCAUGCCCCUUAUGACCUGGGCUACACACGUGCUACAAUGGUCGGUACAACGAGUUGCGAGCCGGUGACGGCAAGCUAAUCUCUGAAAGCCGAUCUCAGUUCGGAUUGGAGGCUGCAACUCGCCUCCAUGAAGUCGGAAUCGCUAGUAAUCGCGGAUCAGCACGCCGCGGUGAAUACGUUCCCGGGCCUUGUACAC
rnacentral:rRNA from 1 species